AGCGAACGCUGGCGGCAGGCCUAACACAUGCAAGUCGAACGAACUCUUCGGAGUUAGUGGCGGACGGGUGAGUAACACGUGGGAACGUGCCUUUUGGUUCGGAAUAACUCAGGGAAACUUGUGCUAAUACCGAAUGUGCCCUUCGGGGGAAAGAUUUAUCGCCAUUAGAGUGGCCCGCGUCUGAUUAGCUAGUUGGUGAGGUAACGGCCUACCAAGGCGACGAUCAGUAGCUGGUCUGAGAGGAUGACCAGCCACACUGGGACUGAGACACGGCCCAGACUCCUACGGGAGGCAGCAGUGGGGAAUCUUGCGCAAUGGGCGAAAGCCUGACGCAGCCAUGCCGCGUGAAUGAUGAAGGUCUUAGGAUUGUAAAAUUCUUUCACCGGGGACGAUAAUGACGGUACCCGGAGAAGAAGCCCCGGCUAACUUCGUG
rnacentral:rRNA from 1 species